rnacentral:rRNA from 1 species
CGCUGGCGGCGUGCUUAACACAUGCAAGUCGAACGCGAAAGGGGCUUCGGUCCUGAGUAAAGUGGCGCACGGGUGAGUAACGCGUAGAUAACCUGUCUUCGUGUCUGGAAUAAUACGCCGAAAGGGGUACUAAUACCGGAUAUUCUUGCUUUAUAUAAGUUUGACAAGCAAAGGUGGCCUCUGAUUUAAGCUACUGCAUGAANAGGGGUCUGCGUACCAUUAGCUAGUAGGUGGGGUAAUGGCCCACCUAGGCGACGAUGGUUAGCGGGUCUGAGAGGAUGAUCCGCCACACUGGCACUGGAACACGGGCCAGACUCCUACGGGAGGCAGCAGUGAGGAAUAUUGCGCAAUGGGGGCAACCCUGACGCAGCGACGCCGCGUGAGUGAGGAAGGCCUUCGGGUCGUAAAGCUCUGUCAAAGGGAAAGAAGUGCAUGAUGGUUAAUACCUGUCAUGUUUGACGGUACCCUUAAAGGAAGCACCGGCUAACUCCGUG